rnacentral:rRNA from 1 species
UACGUAGGGUGCGAGCGUUGUCCGGAAUUAUUGGGCGUAAAGAGCUCGUAGGCGGUUUGUUGCGUCGGCUGUGAAAACUCGGGGCUCAACUCCGAGCUUGCAGCCGAUACGGGCAGACUUGAGUUCGGCAGGGGAGACUGGAAUUCCUGGUGUAGCGGUGAAAUGCGCAGAUAUCAGGAGGAACACCGGUGGCGAAGGCGGGUCUCUGGGCCGAUACUGACGCUGAGGAGCGAAAGCGUGGGGAGCGAACAGG